AUACGGAGGAUGCGAGCGUUAUCCGGAUUUAUUGGGUUUAAAGGGAGCGUAGGCGGACGCUUAAGUCAGUUGUGAAAGUUUGCGGCUCAACCGUAAAAUUGCAGUUGAUACUGUCAGUCUUGAGUGUGCAUGAGGUGGGCGGAAUUUGUGGUGUAGCGGUGAAAUGCUUAGAUAUCACGAGGAACUCCAAUUGCGAAGGCAGCUCACUUGGGCAUAACUGACGCUGAUGCACGAAGGUGUGGGUAUCAAACAGGAUUAGAUACCCUGGUAGUCCACACAGUAAACGAUGAAUACUCGCUGUUUGCGAUAUACAGUAAGCGGCCAAGCGAAAGCGUUAAGUAUUCCACCUGGGGAGUACGCCGGCAACGGUGAAACUCAAAGGAAUUGACGGGG
rnacentral:rRNA from 1 species